rnacentral:misc_RNA from 1 species
AUGAAGAACGUAGUGAAAUGCGAUAAGUAGUGUGAAUUGCAGAAUUCAGUGAAUCAUCGAAUCUUUGAACGCACAUUGCGCCCUUUGGUAUUCCAAAGGGCAUGCCUGUUCGAGCGUCAUUUGUACCCUCAAGCUUUGCUUGGUGUUGGGCGUCUUGUCUCUAGCUUUGCUGGAGACUCGCCUUAAAGUAAUUGGCAGCCGGCCUACUGGUUUCGGAGCGCAGCACAAGUCGCACUCUCUAUCAGCAAAGGUCUAGCAUCCAUUAAGCCUUUUUUUCAACUUUUGACCUCGGAUCAGGUAGGGAUACCCGCUGAACUUAAGCAUAUCAAUAAGCGGAGGA